AAACGACUCUCGGCAACGGAUAUCUUGGCUCACGCAUCGAUGAAGAACGUAGCAAAAUGCGAUACUUGGUGUGAAUUGCAGAAUCCCGUGAACCAUCGAGUUUUUGAACGCAAGUUGCGCCCGAAGCCUUUUGGCCGAGGGCACGUCUGCCUGGGCGUCACAC
rnacentral:rRNA from 15 species